AAGUCGUAACAAGGUUUCCGUAGGUGAACCUGCGGAAGGAUCAUUAUAGAGAUUGGUUGGGUAACACCUUCUAAACCUCCCACCCUUUGUUUACAUUACCUUUGUUGCUUUGGCAGGCCCGUCUUUAGACCACCGGCCUUGGCUGGUCAGCGCCUGCCAGAGGACCUAAAACUCUGUUUAAUUGUAUUGUCUGAGUACUAUAUAAUAGUUAAAA
rnacentral:misc_RNA from 1 species